CCUACGGGUGGCAGCAGUGAGGAAUAUUGGUCAAUGGGCGGGAGCCUGAACCAGCCAAGUCGCGUGAGGGAAGACGGUCCUAUGGAUUGUAAACCUCUUUAGGCGGGGAGCAAUGCCGGGCACGUGUGCCCGGAGGGAGAGUACCCGCAGAAUAAGCAUCGGCUAACUCCGUGCCAGCAGCCGCGGUAAUACGGAGGAUGCGAGCGUUAUCCGGAUUUAUUGGGUUUAAAGGGUGCGUAGGCGGAUUUUUAAGUCAGCGGUAAAAAUGCGGUGCUCAACGCCGUACAGCCGUUGAAACUGGCAGUCUUGAGUGGGCGAGAAGUAUGCGGAAUGCGUGGUGUAGCGGUGAAAUGCAUAGAUAUCACGCAGAACUCCGAUUGCGAAGGCAGCAUACCGGCGCCCGACUGACGCUGAGGCACGAAAGCGUGGGUAUCGAACAGGAUUAGAUACCCUUGUAGUC
rnacentral:rRNA from 1 species